rnacentral:rRNA from 1 species
UACAGAGGUCCCAAGCGUUGUUCGGAUUCACUGGGCGUAAAGGGUGCGUAGGUGGCAGUGUAAGUCUGAUGUGAAAGCUUCGAGCUUAACUCGAAAAUGGCAUUGGAUACUAUAUUGCUGGAGGUUUGGAGGGGGGACUGGAAUUCUCGGUGUAGCAGUGAAAUGCGUAGAUAUCGAGAGGAACACCGGUGGCGAAGGCGAGUCCCUGGACAACACCUGACACUGAGGCACGAAAGCUAGGGGAGCAAACGGG